CCUAAAGGCGUAAUGAAAGUAAAGGUCGUCCUUGUGUCGACUAAGGGAGGAUGAGCUGUGUGUUACAAGACAGCUUCNCACUCUCGGGGCGUCUCAUUCUCAUUGCGAGAAGAGGCGCACCUAGAGCGUACACGUUGGGACCCGAAAGAUGGUGAACUAUGCCUGGUCAGGACGAANUCAGGGGAAACCCUGAUGGAGGUCCGUAGCGAUUCUGACGUGCAAAUCGAUCGUCGGAACUGGGUAUAGGGGCGAAAGACUAAUCGAACCAUCUAGUAGCUGGUUCCCUCCGAAGUUCCCCUCAGGAUAGCUGGCACUCAUAUUUUAUUACGAGUCUCAUCUGGUAAAGCGAAUGAUUAGAGGCCUUGGGGCCGAAACGACCUCAACCUAUUCUCAAACUUUAAAUGGGUGAGAUCUCUGGCUUGCUUGAAUAUAUGAAGCCAUGAGAAUAUUUUUUUUCUUUGGAAAAAUCUAUAUAAUGGAUCAGAGUGCCAAGUGG
rnacentral:rRNA from 1 species